AAUCAGCAUCCAAGGAAGUCUCAAGGUGAGGCUGCAAUGCAGCCUUCUCAACAGGAUUCUAUAGAGAAGUGGGAUGCUAACUGAUUUCCAGAGGUGGCCUUGUUCCAGGGCUCUCUGAAAAUGCUACCUGGUGAUGAACUUGACUUUGUUCUUCUGAGCUAAGGGCACUGGCCCAGUGGGCCAUCUCACCAUGGCUCUACUCACCUGGUGGCCAGCAGAGUCCACUGAGAGCUGACUUCUGGGAGUCGUUGCUGGAAGAGAGUCUGGCAGGAAGAAUUGUCAAGUAUCUCAGCUGACUCCCCAGAGGAGAUGAAUAUCCUCCCCAGGGACAGCCAAGCAUAACAACAGUCCUCUCUGGGCCAGCAAGAUGACUCAGCAAUAAAAGCACUGCCAAGUGUGACCCAACUGAGUUCAAUUCCCAGAACCUACAGAGUUGAACCAGAUAACCAACUCGUGCAAACUGCUCUGACCCCUACAUGGACAGCAUGGCAUAGAUGGUGGUGCUGUUUGGGAAGGCUAUGAAGGCUUCAGAAGGUGGAGGCUUGUUGGAGGAAGAGGAUCACUGGUGAUGUGCCUUGAUGUUUUAAAGUCUGGCCAAUUUCCUGUUUGUUCUUUAACUGCCUAGGCAAUGUGUCCAAAAGACUCAAGCUCCUGGAGCCAUCUUUUUCUACCAUGAUGGACUUCAUCCCUUCAAACUGUGAGCCAAGAUAAAUUCUUCCUUCUUUGGGUUGUUUCUUCUUGGGUAUUUGGUCACAGCAAUGAGAAGGGAUCGCCACUGCUGGUUGAGCUCCACUGUUUCAAUGGUUCCUGCACCUGCACGAGAAAGCUACACAUCUGCAUCUCCUUGGUCGUGGAGUCCAAGGUGGUUCCCAGCUGCCCAUGGAGUCCUCUUCAGAGGACUGACAAGCUGGAGAUGGAAACUACAUUUGGAGUCCUGCUCCAGGAGGGAAAACGGAAAAACAAGACACUGCCCCCAGAUGCAUCCAGGCAGGAGCUCAUUUCCAUCCCAAAUUGGCUCCAGAGGGCGAAGGCUUCUGGGAGAUACCAGGUUCCUUCUGCAGGAUGAGAAAAUCAGUUCAACAAUCCUCUACCCACACCUCAUCCCUGAACUUUGGAUUUCAUCUUCAGCAGCAUCAAGAGGCAAGCAGCAAAUCGUUGCUUGUAUACCACAAGUGAUGGGGAGCUCAUUACACUGCAAACUUCUCAUCCAGCUUCUGAGCACCAGGAUGCCAUCAGUGUGCUCCAUCGUUGGAGCUGAUGUCGGUUCCCUGAGGGCCACCCUCAUGAGGAUGGAGCUUGGCUCAUCAAUUCAGUCCUGCAGAGGUUUACAAACCAAGUUCAUUUAAGAGAUUCUUUUUGUUUCCAGUAACUGUUUGGCUAAGUCUUCAGCUUCUGAGGCUAGUGAUUGGGAAGGCUCAUGCCGGUCUGUUUUUAAAGGUAUAACUUGGCUCAUAUAAAGCUAAAGUCUGGUCUGAUUCAGUACUGCCCUAAGAAAAGCCAUUUGCUCAAAGGUGUUUACAGAGGAGGGAGACAGUGGGUUUCAGCUGCUUGGUUCUGAUCUGGGGGGCAUUGGGAUCCAGCAAUCAUCAAGAAUGAUCUGGUCUGACUGUGACUCACUGGGCCUGAAUGAAUUACCCCUUCCCCUUUGAUAUCAGUUCCUUCCAGGACUUUCGUAAAGAAUUCAAGAGCAAGUGGAGCCUCCAGUUUAACCCUUUACCCCAUUUUACAGAUAAGGAAGACUGAGAGAGUGAGUCCCAGAAAGAGGAAUUGAAUUACCUUGGGGAAACUACUAAAGCCUAAAUCUUGUGGCUUUCACUUUCAGCGUGCUAGUACUUCACAACCAUGCUUUCUCUUAUUCCCUGGAUUUUAGAGCCUCUUUUUCUUCCCCCUACCUGAGUUUUCCCAGACUGAUCCAGACUUCAGAGGUCACCAACCUCCAGCCUUGAGCUUCCCUCAAACCUGGAGCUCAGCACAUACUUAUGUCGUGAACUUUUCCCCACAGAGACAAGAUUAAAGGGAGAUGUUAAUAUUCAAGCAACCUUGCUAAACAAGC
ensembl:lincRNA 9230020A06Rik RIKEN cDNA 9230020A06 gene